rnacentral:rRNA from 1 species
UUUUAAUUUAAUUUAUAAUUUGAAAUUUUAAAUUAAAUUUGAUUGGGGCGAUGGAAAAAGAAUGAGUAUCUUUUUUAGUUUUAAAAAUUGGUUCCGUUUUUAACGAUUAAAUGAAAAAAAUACUCUAGGGAUAACAGCGUAAUAAUUUUGGAUAGUUCUUAUAGAUAAAAUAGUUUGCGACCUCGAUGUUGGAUUAGGAUUCUUUCUUGGCGAAGAAGUUAAGAAAAAGAAGUUUGUUCAACUUUUAAAUUCCUACAUGAUCUGAGUUCAGACCGG